rnacentral:misc_RNA from 1 species
AGGAAAUAAGCGAACUGUCAUCAACUUAAGUAACUUGUUUGUUAAAUAUUAUUUUCUAUUUGUUCCGGAUAUCAGCGUUUUUCGCCAGAAGUGCUUUCUUUGUUUCUUGAAUGGAAAAUAGACGCACCCAGAAUUGUCUCAAAGUGCCUACACGUCUACACGUUCGAUUGAGGUGGUUUUUUGUUUGACGUCGUUGAGGUCAGGUUUAUUGGGUGCAAACAAAAGGUUUCGAGUUAACGCGUUUUGGUUAUGAAAUCAAUAUGACUGCUAUGUCUCGAAGGUAGCUGCCAUCUCAUUACCUUGGUGACAGAGGUAAACAAACCCUUUUUGUUGUACCUUUUGUGCUAAAAUUAAAGAAAAUACCUCCGAUUCAAGGUAUUACCUCGUUUACAUCUCUUUGUCAUAAAAAAUCAGUAAACAUACAAAGCAUAAUCGGAAAUCUGAACGAGGUCAAGCAUCCCCGCACUCACAUGAUCUCAUAAAUCAAUGACUCCUGAAUCAUGCUGGGUCAGUCGGGGGAAGUAACGAUUUAUGUCGUUCAUACAAGGAAACCAAGAUUCGACUUUAGAAGAUAAUCGCUUUUGUGAAGAUUUGUCACCCCCGUUUCUUGGCUUAUUGUUCCCGCAAGCCUAUCUUUUUGCCUGAUACCUUAACAGUCUCUGGACCGAUGAAAGUCAGGGCACAGAUUGAAAGUAAACAAGAUCGAGUUGCCAAAGCAACGAACAAUAGUGAGCCACAGAGGCCAGUACCAGAACAGCUACCAACAAGAACUUCAUGAUGUCUCCAGCUUUCUAUCUUCUUUAAUUUCUCUGCCUAAAGCUUGAAGCUGGUAUAGAAAUGCCGUCUAGUAGCAACGUUUUUAUAUGUUUUCUAAUUCUCAAUUGAAAAUAAAUAAAUAAAAGACU